rnacentral:lncRNA from 1 species
GCCAUCUCUGAGCUUGGUAUUACUUAAGUUAUAUAUGGGUCCGGUCCCUAAUAGUAAGCGGAAAUGUUUGAUUUCCUGCAAAAUGGAAGACUGUACAACUAAAGUGCUUGUUCUAUAUUUCAUUUUUAAAAUGGUUAUGGAUAAAUCAAAACAAAAGAUGAAGAACAGGUUAAGUCUUUGAUUUUGUUUUUGACUAAUGUCUUAAAAUUGGUAUGCAGUAGACAAGGACAACUUUUAACCCCACAUACAUCAUCCAAUGGUCAAACAUACAUACCCAACUUAUAUUCUUCCUCUUCUUAAUGCCACUCUCCCUCACCCUCCUCUCUCAUACUUGAGUUAUGCAUAAACCAUCAAACACUUGACUACUUAUACUGUGUUGUCUACUUGAGAUGUCGCUCAAAUGCACUGUUUUAGUAAUAUCGACAAGUUUUCAAGGAAACAAAAACAUAAAAAGUCUAUUAAGCAAACCAUUAAAACCAAGGUAAGUAGCCAUGCUCAACUCGCAAUAUAUAUGUAUUAAGUAUACCCUUUCAACUAUUCAGCCUUAUACCCCAACAACAAGCCUUCUCCCACUAAGUGGGGUCGGCUACAUGGAUCAAAUUACACCAUAAUGUUCUAUCAUAAACCAUUUUUCGAUCCAACUAUUCAACCUUAUAUGGAAAUAAAAAAAAUUCUAUUAGAUCAUCUGUAAGAGAGAGUAAGGAAUGGGUAAAAGAUGCUAUUAUUUGGAGUCCAUGGGAGCACGGAAGCAGGGAGGCAUUCUCCAGUUGGCCAAGCAACAAAAAGAGACAGAAGCAGACAUAAAAUAGUGCGGUUAGAAAUUUCUUGUACUCACAAUUCAUGAUAUAUUUUGUAAACACUAACAGAGACAGGCAUAAAAAUUUAAUUCUGUUGAGCAUAGAUGCAGCUCAUAAUCAAACAAUGAUAAAUUAAAUAGUACUACAUAUAAAAAACUUUCAACUGGGAAGACAAAUUGGCUUGUAGGUUAAGUUAAGAGCAUACAAAUACCUUCAAAAGACCCAAUUCUAUUGAAACCAAUGUAGCUUCAAACUGGUACAAGAAAUCAGGGAAUCUCUGCUUGCGGUCGAAUCAAUUGUGUGAAAAAAUCCAAGCUUUGCACACAAACUCUACUUAAAGAGAGAAAUAUCCUAUUUUAUGGCACAUAAGGACAAGAGGAAGGAAAUCCCAAUCUAGAAGCAGACAUUUAAUGUCUGGUUGAAGUGAUGAUGCCAGUGGCAAGACCAUUGAGAAAGAGAGGGAAAGGGGGGAAGAGAGAGGACUCAAGGAAACAUUCAAAAAUUAGGCUACAAUGACAGUUGGUGCAGUAUUUAAAGCAAAAAAAAAAAAAAAAAAAAUUUAAGGGAAUGGGCAAACCAGUUGCAGCAAAAUAAUUUUUCUAAAAUUGGAACUGUCGAACAGCAUCAUUGUUAUCACAGCUAUAAAGAAAAUGUCAUCAUUGAUGAUAGAGUUCCUCCACAUUUGUGUACAAUUCAAUCGUCCAUGCCUGAGGAUAGUUAUUCAUAGUGACUCUAUGUAGGAAAAUGGUAGCUGCAAAUUUUCACUUUUCCUGUAAACUUUAGUAUAUAUAGCUAGACUUCUUCAACCCAGAGAACCGGGAAAAAUAAUCCAAAACAUCUAACAAAAAAACCACAUAAUAACACUGACAAUUUCUUAAUUGGUCAUAGACCGAUGAAAUGACACUUGUUAUCAAAUUAGAUAUCAAUGGCUAACUGUCUUCCUAACUCAAAAUUUACCUAGAAUACAUUGUCUGAUAGAAAAAUGAGUACACCAUCACCCACAUGUGAUUGCGUUUACAAUAUUGAAGUAAGAUGAAAUUCAGACCGACACAUUAUAUAUAUACUGUAUACUGUACUGUAUUCUAGCAAGUCCCAAAGAUAAGAUCAUGAACAUAAAUUACAAAGAAAAUACUAGGAAUUAUAUGAAUAUAUCAGAAUCACAAAUUUGUUCAAUAAUUCUCACACUCAAUGCUGUGACUGGAUUUAGAUAUUCACUCACAGAGCAUGUAAUAAAUUAAAAUGUGGAUAAAUUAUAUCGAAUAUCUACUAUAAUCGCAGUUUUAUAAUGAAGUUUGGGCAAGUCUUACUUGGGCACAAAGAAGUAACUAUCAUAAUCACAAUUUACAAUGAAGUUUAAUAUUUUUUAUGAAAAGAGACAAAUGUAAUGAAUUUUAAUUAUUCCAUAACAAGUUUAACUUCGGUAUAAAUUUUCCAUUUCAGAUUCACGCGAUGAUCAUAUAUAAUAGUAAUGAACUUAUGUUGUGAUUCUAAAAUCGUAUAUAAUAGUAAUGAACUUUUGUAAAAUGCCCUAGCUAUGGAGUUUUGUGAAUGUUGUGAAUGUUCUGUGAGUCUAAAAUCGUAGCAACAAGUAACACAACAUUCACAAAACAACAGUCGGGAUAAAAAUCCAGCUAAAUUUCAACUCAAAUUUCACACUAUCCAGGACCUUCGUAUCAAUUUUCCACUUAACAACAA